rnacentral:rRNA from 1 species
AGACCCGACAUGUUACGCCGUUUGGUGGAUGGCUAGGCUCGGACGCUGAGGAAGGGCGCGGCAAGCAGCGAAACGCCCCGGGUAGGCGCAUGCAGUCGUAGAUCCGAGGAUUCCUCAAUGGGACCUCCUGUUGUGAACUUGUUCACAGCGCUCCCAUAAGGGAGCGGGAACCCCCUGAACUGAAACAUCUUAGUAGGGGGAGGAGGAGAAACCAACUCCGGGAUUCCCUGAGUAGCGGCGAGCGAAAAGGGAAGAGUCCAAACCGAACCUCAAGGGAGACCUGUGAGGGAUGUGGUGUAGUAGGACCCGGUCGCCUCCUAACUGGCGAAGCUAAAGUGGCCUGGAAAGGUCUGCCAUAGAGGGUGAUAGCCCCGUAGGCGUGAGCUGGAAGGAGUUGGAUCGGUGUUCCUGAGUACCGUACCUUGGUUUGGGUGCGGGAAUCUGGGAGUCAUCAACUUCUAAGACUAAAUACGUCCCGAGACCGAUAGCGCACUAGUACGGUGACGGAAAGCUGAAAAGCACCCCGGAAGGGGGGUGAGAAGAACCUGAAACUAAACGGUUAUAGAUGCGCGUGGCCUGGAAGGGUAGAUCCCUCCCGAAGGAAACCAUGGCGACGUGGGAGUACGAGGGAGCGGGGACCAGGGUUACGCGUUCCGUCUGGAAUCACGGGCUGGGGAGUUCACGGUUGUGGCGAGCUUAAGGAUUUUAAAUCCGUAGGCGUAGGGAAACCGACAAGCCCGCAACCGGCCUUUGGCUGGCGAGGGGCAAGAUCUGAAAGGGUCUGGAGUCACGGCUGUGAAACUAGAAACCGGGCGAUCUAGCCUUGAGCAGGGCGAAGUCAGGCGAAAGCCUGGUGGAGGCUCGAAGGGGUGUUGACGUGCAAUUCACUCCUCUGACUUGUGGCUAGGGGCGAAAGACCAAUCUAGCCCGGUGAUAGCUAGUUCCCUCCGAAGUGGGUCGCAGCCCAGUCCCAAGCGAGGUAGCUGGCAGGGUAGAGCACCGAUUGAGAAGCAAGAGUCCCGAAAGGGUUCACUUUUCUUUCAAACUCCGAAUCUGUCAGCGCCGUAGACCUUGGGAGACGGGCCUGGGGGGUAAGCUCCUGGGCCGAGAAGGGAACAACCUAGACCGAGGUUAAGGCCCCAAAGUGCUGGCUAAGUGCUAAACUGAAGGGCGUGUUCAUUCUUAGACAGCGGGGAGGUAGACAUAGAAGCUGCCAUCCUUUAAAGAGUGCGUAACAGCUCACCCGCCGAGGUUGAACGCCCCGAAAAUGGACGGGGCUAAGCCAGCCGCCGAUACCUCGGGGCACGGCUUAUGGCCGUGAUCUGGUAGGAGAGCGUCACGGUUGGACGGAAGCUGGGCCGUGAGGUCCAGUGGACCGACCGCGAUUGAAGAUCCCAGUGGUAGUAACAGCAAAGAGAAGUGAGAAUCUUCUCCGCCGGAAGGGCAAGGGUUCCCCGGCAAUGUUCGUCAGCCGGGGGUAAGUCGGUCCUAAGGCCGAUCCUAACAGAGUAGGCCGAAAGGGAAACCGGUUAAUAUUCCGGUACCAUAAAGGUACAUGCGGCGACGAAAGCCUGUCUUCAGACGCUUCGAGGUAGGUCGAGCAGGGCUGUCGCCUUGUUUAACCGUAUAAGCUUGGGGAGUGCCGUAAUGGCGAGAACCAAGUGAAGGCGGGAAUAGCUUACCGUUGUAGGUGAGUUCGUUCGAUCUUUGGAGCCAUUGAAAAUGGAGACUGGAAGGAUUCUUUAUGUCCGUACCCAGAACCGACACAGGUGUCCCUAGGUGAGAAGCCUAAGGCGUGUCGGGUACACUCUAGGUGAGGGAAAUCGGCAAAUUAGCCCCGUAACUUCGGAAGAAGGGGUGCCUGCAGCUUUGGCCUCUUGGCUGGAACCGCAGGUCGCAGUGACAAGGGGGUCCCGACUGUUUAAUAAAAACACAGGAAGACGCAAGCCCGAAAGGGUGUGAACGGCUUCUGAAUCCUGGCCAGUGGCAGGAUCUGAAACUCCGUUUCAACGGGGACAAGGACUGCUAAACGCCGGGAGUAACUCUAACUCUCUCAAGGUAGCCAAAUGCCUUGUCAGGUAAGUUCUGACGUGCAUGAAUGGAUUAACGAGGGCCCCACUGUCCCCAUCUGGAACCCGGUGAACCCACAUUACUUGGUGAAUAGUCCAAGGACCUCCAGCGGGAUGAGAAGACCCUGUGGACCUUUACUGCAGCCUGUCGCUGGGAUUUGGCUGUAGGUGCAGAGUGUAGGCGGGAGCCGUUAAUCCCGGUCUCUCCGGGGACUGGGGGAGGCGCCAAUGGAACACCGCCCUCUUACAGUUGAGUCUCUCACCGGCGCCGUUGGCGCUGGAACAACGAUUGGUGGGCAGUUUGGCUGGGGCGGCACCCCCUCGAAAAAAUAUCGAGGGGGCCCUAAGGUUGGCUCAGGCGGGACAGAAACCCGCCGCAGAAGGCAAGACCAAAAGCCGGCCUGACUGAAUCCUCCAAAGCAAGGGAUCCAGAGGCGAAAGCUGGGUCUAGCGAUCUUUCAUGUCCCCGUUGGUGGGGGCUGGAAGUGACAGAAAAGGUACCCCAGGGGUAACUGGCUCGUCGCGGGCGAGAGUUCACAUCGACCCCGCGGCUUGGUACAUCGUUGUCGGCUCUUCCCAUCCUGGUCCUGCAUAAGGGGCCAAGGGUAGGUCUGUUCGGCCGUUAAAGGGGAACGUGAGCUGGGUUUAGACCGUCGUGAGACAGGUCGGACUCUAUCUGCUGGGGGUGUCGGCUGCUUGGAGGGAAGGAAUCCCUAGUACGAGAGGAACGGGAUAUCGCAGCCACUGGUCUACCGGUUGUCCGACAGGGCAUCGCCGGGCAGCCACGCUGUCGGGGAUAAGAGCUGAAAGCAUCUAAGCUCGAAGCCCCUCCCGAAAAGAGGCAGCCACUUCGCAACGCGCGACUCUGGCAACGGAGCCGCUGUUGUGAACGAGGGUUGAGACCAGAAGAUCUCGUUGAUGGAGCGGGGGUGUACGCGUCGAGGCUUCGGCCGAGGCGUUCAGCCCGCCGCCCCCAAUCACCCAAGGUGUAGGGUCA